rnacentral:lncRNA from 1 species
CCCGGUUUUUUUAAAUCCCUUCCAACCCCCCUUUUUCCCCUCCCCCUGAACCAGACCCACUCCCCCUUCCGACAGCCCCUGCCCCCGCGCAGAAAGGAGCUCUCACUCCACACCCUCUGAAGGAAACGCCUCGGUCUUAGGACGGAUGCGUGUUGUGAAUCCUAAACGCCCCUUCCCCCUCAGACGUCGUCUGUACGCCGGGCGUUGAAAAGACCACGCCGCCACAGUAUCGCUGGUCUUGCCUAGGACGCAUGCGCCUGGGGAAACGCCCCACCUCGCUUUAACUGGACCUAGGCGGCUCACACGUUUCUGAAAACUCGCACCGUGGGGUGGGCCCCUUGUCUGGGAAUGCUUCCCUCCAGUUCCACACAUGCGCGAGCGCUCCCUUUCCGCUCCGCUCUUCCUAGCGCACUAGUGUGGUCGGGUGUCCGCCCACCUCGGCUUCGCCGCUCUCCACUCUGCGUCUCUGCCCCGCCAUAGAGUUCCGCCAGGCGAGAUAGAGCGGCCCCGUGCCGGCCACCAUCUUGUUUAAGGUCUGGGCCCGUAGUGGUCCUGUGGCUUCCAUAGGGGCCCUUCUACUCUUGAAUCCUCACUGGAAAGAUUUAUAUUUUUGUGUGUUUUCCCCAGCUGUGCUCGGCAGUUGCCAAGAUAAUUGUGUGCAAGCUCCUUAGGAGACAAUUCUGUAUAAAGAGUGGUUUGUUAAAUUACCCCGACAUUCUCCAAACCGUGGGUGACCGUGGAGCCACAAGCAAGCUGUCUCUCCCCUGUUCCUGGCCUUAGGGAAGAAGCCCCUGCUGCGCCUGAGACUUCAUAGUCCUCUGCCUGCAGGUCCUAAGUCUCCAGCACCUCCUUCGUGACCACCUUGCAGGAAGCGAGGACCAAGAAAGACUCCUGUGGCAGGUCCACUGCCGAACAAGAGCCGGAGUCCGCGUUUGUGCAGUGCGUCUCGCUGGCAGAGCCUGCGCCUUCCCUUCCUCUUCUGAGUGUCUCGCCCUUUCCUUGGUUAACAGCAGCACAGCUUUCACCAAAAAAAUUAAUAAGCCCCACAACUUCUUGGCGUUGUCCAGUUCCUGUUCUCAAAGAUGUUCCCAUGACCCAGGAAUUCUACCCCUAGGUAUUCACAGAUACCAAUAAAAACAGGUACCCAACCAGCCCUGCGUGUGUUUGCUCACAGGAGCGUUAUUCCCAGUAGCCCAAGGUGUAAACAACCCAAAUGUCCUUCAACAGAUGAGUCAAUGAACAAAAUGUGGCAUAGACAUAACAAUGAAAUAUUAUUCAGUCCAAAAAAGGAGUGAACCAUGAGUGCACACUCCAGCUGUGUGAGCCUCAAAAACGUGGAAGAAGCCAGACCCAAAGGAUCACAUAUUCUGAUUCCACUGACUCACAAAAAUGCCCAGAACAGGUAAAUCCAUAGAAACAAAACCAACAAACCAGUGGGUGAUUACCAGGUUCUGAGGAAGAGGGAAGACACGAUAGGAAGUAACUUCUGGAUGGAUAUGAGAGGUUUUCUUUUUGUUGCUGUUGUUGUUCUAAGCAUUUAUUUAUUUGAAGGAGUUACAGAGAAAGGGAGAGACAGAGAGCAGGUCUUUCAUCUGCCGGCUCACUCCCCAAAUGGCUACAACAGCCAGGCUGGGCCAGACUGAAGCCAGGAGCCAGGAGCUUCUUGUGUCUCUCAUGAGGGUACCGGGGUCUAAACACUUGGGCCAUCCUCCAUUGCUUUCCCAAGCACAUUAGCAGAAAGCUAGAUUGGAAGUGGAGCAGCUGGGAUUUGAACCUGCUCCCACAUGGGAUGCCAGCACUGCAAGCAGACUUAACCCACUGCACCACAGUGCCAGCCCAGGUAUGAGGUUUUGUAUUAGACUCAAGUCAAAACGUUUUGGAACUAGAUGGAGGUUGUG